CGCGGCUGUCCUAUGUCAUUGCCUGUUCAAAAAGAUUGGGGGAGGACGUAGCAGUAGCACUUCGUUAAGUUUAAACUGCUCUCGACGAGUUCCAGAUGCCGAUGGUCGUGAAUGUCUGGUGGUGGAAGUGAUGCUGCUGUAAAGAACUCCCUGCUGCGCUAGCAUUACUACACCACUUGGGCUAUAAGCAAUCAGAGGGAGCGAGAAAGAGAUACGAAGAAUUUAAAGGACCAGGGACUGCAGUAUCGUGUUUUAAGUGAGAGGCACACCAAGUGAUGCUGAUGAAGAAGGAUGUGGUGGAGGGAGACGAAUGCCCGGGCCCCGAAGUGUUGUACCAGUCUGAGAGAUGGUCCCUGCGAGGCCCCCUGCGGUGGAGAGCCAACCGUGGCUCGCCUGAACUCCUGCCAAGCUCACUGGCUGUUUGAGUUGUUGCAGAUGGCACAGACAGUAGCACUGAUGUGGCAGGGUACACAUAAUGAGACAAUACAUAAAACAAAUAGUACAAACAGAGCACAACACUAUUCUAUGUCAUUAGAUUAAUAUUACUGCUACAUGAAUGUUUUGGUGCAUUUCCCCGAUGUAGAUUCUACAGUUGAGUUGAAUUUCACAGACUGCUGAUGGGUUUAAUCUACAGCAAUGCAUCACACUCUGUAAGAUCAUAAUAUGUUUCUAGCAUCACUCUCUCAGAAAAACAGCCUUAUUUUCAACUCUGCGGCGAUGCAUUUUCCAGCUAAGUCAAAAGGAUUUUUAAAUUGUAUAUUCAGGGAAAGAAGUAGAAUAAUCCUCUCAGUCAAUAAAGAAAACAGUUAAAUGUUAAAGAUACCAAUAUUUUUUGGAUAUAUAGUGCUCACAGGACCAGAGGGGGAUAAAAAUAAAUCUGAGUAAGUAACUAGUAAAAGCUGUCAGACAAAUGUAGCAGAGUGCAAAUUACAAUAUUUGCCUUUGAGUUGUAGUAGAUUAGAAAUAUAAAGUUGCAUUCAUUGGAAAUGCUCAGGUAACACACAAAUAUGUUGAAUUUCUACUUGAGAAGAUGUACUUGAUUAGUAAUACUUUUCCUACAUUUCACCAAUGGGAUUUUUUGCUCUCGUGCUCCACAUUGGCACUUGAGCAUCCUUCAUGUUAAAUGAAGACAGAGUCUGCAAAUUGAGUAAAACUUGUCUAUCACCCACCUACAAUGCAGUACUGAGUUCCCUUCCCAGACGGCUUAACAACGAUUCACACCUGGCUCACCUAGCCAUAGCAACCCACAUGAAGGUCGGUUAAGUCAACGACCCACAAGGGGCCCUGGCGACUCUGAAACUCAGAGCUCACGCAUGUCCUUAACGACUCUGUAAGGACGCUCCCACACAGAGUUUAAAAACCUGCGACGCCCCUCCAGUUAGGUACAACUGAAGAAGCCUCUUGGAUAAGAGGUGAAACCGAAACACGUCCAGUUGCCUACGACGACAGCACAUAGCCACGACCUGGAAGACUGAGAACCUUCAUCAACAAACUUUUUUAUAUACCGCAAACUUUGAAAAUGUAGUCAAGAACAAAUAUUACACAAUAACGAUAACGUACUCAAAAUGACAGGGUCUGAGAUUCCUGUUUCAUGUUAAUCAUAUACGAGAUGAUGCAGAACUAAAUACUGUGUGGCUGCUCACAUAAGCAACCCUGAUUAUGUCUACCACUGAGUUAAUCAUAUGCUGCUUUUUGUACUCACCCUGCCGCUUGAAAAGUUGAAAUUGUUUAUUUAAGUUUCCUCAUUUUGAUAAUAUAAGUUCCCUUUUUUCUGGAGUAUUAAGAAAAAACAGAUGCAGUGAAGAGAGGAAGAUUUUGCUCACAGUUUUCUCAGCAUGAAUGCAUCUCAUCACUAAAAACUUGCUAUAUUUAUUCAAAGCAACAUUAUGAUAAUUGAUAUUGAGUGAUAUAUUUGAUUAUAUGUCAUGGACCUUCUGUCUGUGAUGGGACCAUUUGUCCUGUUAAGCACAGGGGUUUGUUAUUUAUGUGGCAGUGCUUUUUAAAUGUAUAACACUGCCGUAAUCACGAUAUCACUGCUUGUGAUAACUAUCACAUGACCUGUUUGUGUGUGUGUUAAUAUCAUUACGACUAAUAAUUCCUGCCUGGACGUAACUCCA